CAGAAUCCGAAGCAGGCUCCAGACUCCCAGCUGUCAGCACAGAGCCCAACGCAGGGCUCAAACUCACGAACUGUGAGAUCAUGACCUGAGAUGAAGUCGCACGCUUAGCCGACUGAGCCACCCAGGUGCCCCAAAAAUCCAAUACUUCUUAACACUAAGGUGGAAAUGGGUAAUAAAGCCUAAUGUGUAGGCUUCUUCAGAAAUUUUUUAAAUAAUCAGGAAGCCUCAAAUCAAAGGAAUGAAAACCACUCUUUGUGGAAUUUCAGGGAAAGGGUGUGUGAUAUUUGAGGGUUAUAAAGAAUGGCAAUAUUGGUUUUUAGAAAAGCCACCGGGAACACACAUUCUACAGAAUGUCACUCAACUGUCCCCAUAACUGGCUCAUCGCAGCAUCAUUCCUGUGUGCCCCCGGCCGGGAUGAUGAAUGAAAUUCCCAUCUCAUCAGAACUGCCACCACUUCUUGCCUUUUUUCCCCCUCUUUUGACAAUAAUACAGGUGGCUGUACGGAUGGUGCGGGAUACACUGUGCUUUCAUAGCUUACCAUAGCCGGCUUGAGAUUCCCUCGACAUAAACAUCAGAAUGCCCUUAAGCCACUCUCAUUGUGCAAUACAGCUGAGUUAGAAACAUGGUCCUGCUCUCUGAACAAUUCCUGGAAGAGACAAAAAAAAAAAAAAAAAAAGGCAAAUAUAUUUGCAGAAUGUUGACUUCAUUCAGAAUGUGCAUUAAAUAAAUAAUGCACUAAGGGUUUUGGAGACGGUAACUAAGACAGACGCAAAUGCAUAUUUUUCUCCAGAUAACAAAAUCUUCCAAAGAUGCCUGGUGCUCAGCACGGAGGAUGUGCACAGCAGUGUAGAGGCUCCGGCCCUGUGAUGGUCUCCAUUCUGGGCUUGCCUGGCCCCAGCUUCCCUGCUGUGGUGCUGAAAAGGGAGCUCCGAUGUCCAAGCUUGACAGGAUGAGAUGCUGUGCAGGUAGAUUGCUACAGGUGGGUUUGGUGGGUAAGUAGAGGCAGUGUGGUGUGGCAGGGCAAGCAUCGGACUCUGGGCUGGUCUCAGCGCUGUCACGAAUUCAUUCACUGAGGGACUUUGAACCCUUCAUACCUCUGUUUCCUUUUAUACAAAAUGGAAAAAUAUAUUUUAUGGUGGCGUUCUGAGAGUCCAGUGAGACCAUGUGUAUGAUAAUGUUUUUAGAAUUAUAAAAAGCCAAGGGCUCCUGGCUGGUUCAGUCAGUGGAGCAUGAGACACUUGAUCUCAAAGUUGGGAGUUCAAGCCCCACGUUGGGUGUAGGGAUAACUUAAAACAAAAAUCAAAUCUCAAAAAAAAAAAAAAAGAAUUCUAAAAAAAGCAUACAAAUAUGUGUUUUUAUAGUUAGCUCUAUAUAUCACCUCCCUCAUGGGUAUUCCCUCCCUCCCCACAAUUCUAGCACACACCCAGUAGUCAUCUACCAUUCACUUUUUGGAUAACCUGACCAAAAUAUAUCACUUCUAACCUACUCUCCUUCUCAUGGUCCAUGUUCCUCUACAUGCUCUUAAAUAAAUGCACCGGGGGGGGGGGGGGUGGGUGGGAAUUAUAAGGCACAUUUAUAGGAUUAUCCACUCUUGCCCCUAAGCUCCAACUUCCCAUUAAAGAAGGGACUCAAGGCCAGCCUAUGAUAAAAGCUUGUUUUUAUAAAUGCAGUAAAAUAUUUUUAGCAUUGUAUUUAAAGAAUCUUAACAUGGAUGCAAUAAAACAUACAUUAAUUGUAAAAUCUGUUUUCAAAGAAAAUACCUCAUUUUAGAUUGUUUCACAUGCCUAGACUUGGGUGAAAGGAAAAAAGUUGGAUGAGAUUAAGAGUUAAAAUUGAUUGAACAUCACUAUGAGCAAAGCAUUCUGCUAAGUAUUGUCAGAUCUAAAGUUAAAAGCAUGACUCAUUCAAAUAUAAAGGGAGCACAUGUCAGGGGCACCUGGGUGGCUCAGUUGGUUAAGUGUCCACUUCGGCUCAGGUCAUGAUCUUGCAGUUUGUGAGUGCUAGCCACGUGUCAGGCUCUGUGCGGACCGCUCGGAGCCUGGAGCCUGUUUCGGAUUCUGUGUCUCCCUCUCUCUCUGCCCCUCCUCGGCUCGUGCUGUCUCUCUCAAAAAUAGACAUUAAAACAAAACAGGGAGCACGUGUCAAAGAUUUCUUAACUCAUGAAUGAGGGAACAGACAAGAUAGUUCAAAAAGAAUUAGGAAGAUGGAAGUAUUUAUAGGGGCUGAGCAAGAAAGAGGAGCACAUGGAUAAAAUUUGUAAUUUAGGUACGGACCUGGUUCAUGUCCUAGAGGGCAGUAACAGGAUAAUCUUGGGAUUAUCUUUUCGACCCUGAAAGCAGUUUCAUGUCUUCUGGACAGAAUCAAUUUGCAUUUCUCUUGGACAAGAAUCAUUUGCAUUGCUAGCACUUUUCUACAAGUUAACUUUUACACUUACAGAAUUCCAAAAUCUCCUUAUGGUGAGAUUGAGUAAGUAGCAACUCAAACAAAAGUACCCACCUAGAGAAUCAGAUAAUUCACCAAACAGGUCUACACACAACCCUGGCUUAACACUGAAAAAGACUUGCACGUUUCCAAAUUUUUAGAUAAUUUUAUUUUUAAAUUUUUAUAUUUUUAUUUUUUUAAUGUUUAUUUAUUUUUGAGAGAAAGAGACAGAGUGUGAGUGGGAGAGGGGCAGAGAGACAGAGACACAAAAUUGGAAGCAGGUUCCAGGCUCUGAGCUGUCAGCACAGAGCCGGAUGCGGGGCUCGAACCCACGAAGAACCCAUAAACCGUGGGAUCAUGAUCUGAGCCGAAGUCGGACACCCAACUGACUAAGCCACCCAGGCACCCCUGGAUACUUUUAUUUUUAACAGCACUUAUGCAUAGUUUAUGGAAGCAUUUAAUAUUUAUCAUUUUGUGCGGCCUACACAAUUCUGAAAAGUGGUUAUUAUUAAUUCCAGUUGCACGGAUGAGGAAAUUGAAAAUCAAGGAGACAAAGAAAUUUGUUUGAAUUCACUGGAACAAAUGAUUACCCAGACCUGUUAAAUUAUGAAAUCCUUGCUUUUCUUGCUACAGUGUAUAUAUCACCGCCCAAAAAUGUUUUAAUUGUCUUUAUUGAGAUACAGCAUACAUAUGGCACAGUGCAGAUAUCUUAAGUACACAUUUUAAUGGCUUUUUACAUAUAAGGAUGUAUGUAUAUGUGCGUGUCUUUUGUCAAACACAUAUUACCAUGACCCAGAUCAAGAUGUUAAACAUUUGUAGCGCCCCAGAGGUUCUCAUGCCUCUUUCUACUCAACCCACCAUCACCACUAACCCCAGGUCAUCUUUUUUUUUUUUUCUACAUCAAUCACCAUAAAUUAGUUUGGCCUGAUUUUCAUAAAAUGGGUCAUACAUACAGUAACUGCUGUUUUGUGUCUGGUAUCUUUUGCUCAUAAUUAUGCCUGUGGCAUACACCCAUGUUGUUGCAUGCGGUAGUAUUCUUUCUAAAAAACUGUUUACAAAGUUCAUUGCAUGAAUAUACCCAAACUUAUCUAUUCUCUUGUUGAGGGACCCUUGAGUUGUUUCCAAUUUUUGGCUCUAAGGCAUAAAGCUAUUAAGAAUAUUUUUGUAUAUCCUUUCUGUGAGCAUGAGCAUAUAUUUUUGUUGGCUGUAUACUCCGGAGGGGAGUUGUUGGGUGGUACGUUUACAUAUUUUUGGUUUUAGUAAGUACUGCCAAAUAUUUUUCCAAAGUGGUUGCACCAGUUUGCGUUCCUACUAGCAUAGCAGUGUAUGAAGAUUCCAGUAAGUUCACAUCCUUAACAACUCUUAAAUCGUUACUCUUUAUUUUUAACUAUUUUGUGAUAUGAAUAAGUAUUCCUCUGCAUUUAAAUUUGGUCCCUGUUAUAAAAGAAAGAAAUAAUAUGACAGUUCUAUAAAGCAUUAGGUCUGAGAAAGUGAUAUCAAAUAAUAUCAGCUCUGUCUGGAGUGCGUGGAUGGAUCCCAGUGCUUCCAAUUUGGGGGCUACUUUAAUAGGUGAGUGUAACAUACCGAAAUAAAACUAUGUCUUUUUGAUACAUUCCCUCUGUUCAUUUAGGGUGCCAUGACUUUGAUGGCAUUUACCGAUCAAAUCUAUUUGAUAAAAACGCUCAGGGGCACCUGGGUGGCUUCGUCGAUUACAUGUCCGACUUCAGCUCAGGUCUUGAUCUUGCAGCUCGUGAGUUUGAGCCCCACCGCUCUCUAUUGUCAGUGCACAGCCUUUGUCGGAUCCUCUGUCUCCCUCUCUCUGUCCCUCCCCCAUUUGCGCACUCCCUCUCUCUCAAAAAUAUUUUUUAAAAAAUGCUUAGUAAUAUUAGAAAGCUUCUUUAAAUUUAGCACUGUAUAAAAAGACUAAGUUAGGAACCUAAUUACUACUAUUUAAAGGACCAUGCACAUUUGAAUAAAUCUAACCAUAAAUAUAAACAAGCUACAAUUAAUAUACAGAGAUCUAACUUCAGAAUGGGUCCCUGUACCAAGGAGAUAGUAAACACAUGGUGCUCUAUAUAUGUUUAUGAAUGAUAUUGAUUGCACACCUCUUCUUUCUUUAUCAGUUCUGAGUGGGGCUUUACCUUUGUUGUUGUUGUUGUUGUUGUGUUUUGUGUGCUGGUCCACAUUAGAUCAUUACCUAAAUUGAGGCAGACUCACUAAUUUACAGAAAAUUUGCAGUCUCCACAGAUAACUUGGAUGUACAUCUUAAACAGUCUACAACUAUUUUUAAAUCUGUAGUUAUUUUUAUUCCUACUCCACAAAUUAAUGUAAUUUAGGACCCUAGGGAAGACUGCUUUCCUUCAAUGGCCAGACUUUGAAUUCACUAUCUUUUCUUUUUACGACAAUGGGUGAAUCUUUGAUAGACUGCUAUGAUUCGGGGCAGGAAAAACAAACAAACAAACAAAAAAACAAGCUGCCUGGCUUUAAAUUCUAUUACUUAACCAUGUGACCUGUGGUAAGUAAUUUAACCUCUGUACACUUCAGUUUCCUCAUCUGUAAAAUGAGAAUAAUCACUCCAACCUAGGAGGGUUGAGAAUUAAAUGAGCUAUUAUUUGUAAAGCAUGUAGAACACUAUCUGAUACACAGCAACAAUAUACAGGCAUUUGUAUAGUAAAAUAAAUUUGAAAUCUUACCUCAAAGUGUCUUCUACUCAAUCACUCAAAAAACUUCUCUUUGUAUUCCUGUAUGCUCUCUUCAAAUACCCCCUCUGGAGCCAUACGUCCCCCCAUGCCAGCUUAUGCACAAUCCUCUCAAAGAAGAACAAGAUACUCAGUGAUAGUGACCCCCCAAACACACAACAAUGUGCACGGAUCUCCUAUGCAGUAAGGAAGCACUUGAAAUGUGUGGUAGUUGUUUUGCAACAACUACUGACAUCUGGCAACCAGGGAUCUGUUAAGGACUCAACGAGAUGUAAACGUAGCUGUAAGAAUGGGCAAGGUGAGUUUCUCAUGUCUGGUGAAAGGCUUACUCCACCUGGUUGGCUUCAUCAAUAGCUCUCUGUCAUUGUCCGAGCCUGGGAACAGAAGCUUGUACCCGGGUCUGAGAGCCUCUCACCUUGUCUCCUGCUUUGCCUGACUCUAGAACGUUAUCCCUUGUCAUUUUAGCAUUACGAAACUUCUGUUUCCGCUGGCGUCUUUCCAUCGAUUGCAUCCCUUGUGACACCUAUGAAAUGUUCCACACGAGAGCUAACUUCCACAGAAAAUCAGAAGUAGCUUCUAGAACCUGUGAGGCUGCCCGCCCCCACCCCCCUCCCCGGGCAGAGUCUCCACUCUCCACUCUGGAUGCGGCCCGAGCUACCCUGUACCCCAGCUCCCCAGGGACUUCUCCCCUCUGUGAUGCCCCUCUCUGGCCCUCCCCCUUUCAUUCGUCUCCAACUCUCCUAAAACCUUCUGCAUCUUCAGCUUUGCUCCUCAGCCUAGGUGGUCACUUACUCCACUGCUGCAGCAUCUUUCCCAGAGACAGCUGAAGACAGGCUCUGGGUCCAGUGAACAAUGAUGAGAGAAGAAAGGUACGUUUGCCCUUCAGCCCCCAGGUCUAGCAUCCAGGAGAAGAGUCUGACUUUUCACACCACUCCAAGGGACUGCCUUUUGGCAUGACGCCAACGCAUGUAGCUAGAAGUGAGACCCCCUUCCUUCUAUGUAAGUUUCAUAAACAAGUCCCUGAAGCCUCUCCUACCUUGUAGUAUUCGGAGCCCUGAUACUGGGUUCAGUCACAUGCACGUGUGAUGCCAAACACGUAUUACCUCCCACCACAGCAAACACAGAUUAAUUGGAGCCCUCGCAUGUCUGAUCAUUUUUUCUAAAAGUAGAGGUCGCGGACUGACGCUGAGAAGUGGCCAGAAAUGUCUAAUAGGAGACCAGUUUAGUAAGAAGAUAGGUAGUUCUAUAGAGGUCCUCCACUGGUAGGCAAAUCAGCCAAACACUAUAACAACUGAGAUUUGUGGGCGCCUGGGUGGCUCAGUCAGUCAAGCGUCUGACUUUGGCUCAGGUCACGAUCUCGCAGUUGGUGAGUUCGAGCACCAUGUCGGGCUCUGUGCUGACAGCUCAGAGCCUGGAGCCUGCUUCUGAUUCUGUGUCUCCCUCUCUCUCUGCCCCUCCCCCACUCACACUCUGUCUCUUUCUGAAAAAUAAAUAAGCAUUAAAAAUUAAAAAAAAAAAAAAUAGGGGCACCUGGGUGGCUCAGCCGGUUAAACAUCCAACUUCAGCUCAGGUCAUGAUCUCACAGUCUGUGAGUUCAAGCCCCUCAUCAGGCUCUGUGCUGACAGCUCAGAGCCUGGAGUCUGCUUCUGAUUCUGUGUCUCCCUCUCUCUCUCUGCCCCUCCCCUGCUCAUGCUCUGUCUCAAAAAUAAAUAAAAACAUUAAACAAAAAUUAAAAAAAAAA